rnacentral:misc_RNA from 1 species
AUAUCAAUACCAGUAUAUUGAGUGUACUUCUUGGAAUGAUGAAUAUGUGUGUGAGAUUUCUCAUGGACCUGAUUGAAGGAUGAAUGAAUUUGCAACAUCCACAAAAAUUUUGGUUAUUAUAAGAGAGGUAAUUCCAUACUUUAGACUAUUUGAGUUAUUGGUAGUGUGAAUGGAUCUAAAUAAUGAGUGGCAUGUUUUGUAAAAGCCUGAAGAAUCUAUAAUGUGGAGGGUUUUCUCACAUAAAUACUUGCUGAUUCAUUAAACUAGUUACUCGGCUGGUAAUGAGGGCAUUAUGAAUAUAUUGGGACUUACUCUUACGCAGG